UACGGGAGUGGCAAGCGUUAAUCGGAAUUACUGGGCGUAAAGCGUGCGCAGGCGGUCGUGCAAGACAGAUGUGAAAUCCCCGGGCUUAACCUGGGAACUGCAUUUGUGACUGCACGGCUGGAGUGCGGCAGAGGGGGAUGGAAUUCCGCGUGUAGCAGUGAAAUGCGUAGAUAUGCGGAGGAACACCGAUGGCGAAGGCAAUCCCCUGGGCCUGCACUGACGCUCAUGCACGAAAGCGUGGGGAGCAAACAGG
rnacentral:rRNA from 1 species